GUCUAAGGUAUCUUCCUCACAGAAAUUUGUUCAAUUUUAAUAAAGAGAACGCAUUGGCAGAAUGAAUUAUUUUUGUUCCUCUAUUUACCCUCACAAUGUUUUCUUAAAUCAGUUUUUAUCUCUAUCAAACAUUGCUUUCUAGAACUUGUGUGUAUAACAUAUAUUUUCUGAUAAAAAAGCAUAUCAAUUUAGAUUUAGAUUUUAUACAAGUAAAGAAAAUUUGUUUUACAAAAUCUUACAACUGGCUUUAAAGUACAUGAUUAUGGAAACAUUUACAGCAAUUGCCACCAACUUCGAUAGUUAAAAGGAAAUUAAAUAAGUAACAAAGGAUAAAAUUAUUGGGAGAUACUAAUAAUGAUUAUCAUUAAUGGUUUCAUUUCUCAGAUCUUCUGUCAUCCUGGAAUGUACCCAAAAGCUUUCAUUAUAACUGAGUAACCCUCUUGCUUUGAGGUUUCAAGGUUACUUUGGUUGACACUGCAAACAGCCACAUUUGAUUGUAAAUACAGAAGAAAUAACUUGUAGAGCAUAGACAAGUGGAUUCCCAUAAUUACCACAUUGCAUUUACUAUUCUUUUCCUGUCACUCCUGCUUACUUCCUCCCUUAUUCCUUCUCCUUACAAUUAAAUGAAUGAAUCCGAAUAGCAGAAAGAUCCAAAAGGGAAAGGGGUAUCAGUUUUGAUACCUGAGCAGAAAUGAACUGUAGGGAAUCAACAGAGUGGUGUUUAAUAUUUACCUCCCAAUUAAGAGACCAUGAAUGGAUUUGAAAAAUGGAUUAAAGGAAGAGGAGGGGCCACUAUUCUAUUGCCGAGCACCUGCCAUGCAUCCCAAUAUUUUUUGGCAUAUCCAGUUGCAACACUGAAGUACAAUGGCACCAGGGAAGAUGUUCCUGAUGUUCUUCAGUGUGUUAGCUAAUAAGAGGACUGGUCUAAUCCUCAUUCUUGGUUUAUAUAUUUAAGGAGCUCUAUGUUUUAAAAAAAGCUGCAGUUCUGUGUUUGCUAUUAAUAUUGAAUACUUUCUGCAGUAUUGGAUAACCAUGCAUUAAGCCAUUGAAAUCAGAGCUGUACAAUAUAAUUUGAACUAUUAAUCAAAUGCCAGUUAAAGUUAAUUUACUGAUUACACGUAUCCUCAACUUAUGACCACAUUUGAGUCUAGAAUUUAUGUUGCUAAG